rnacentral:rRNA from 1 species
CCUGGCUCAGGAUGAACGCGAGCGGCGCGCUUAAUGCAUGCAAGUCGAGCGAUGAGACUCCUACGGGAGCACAUCAGCGGCAGACGGGUGAGUAACACGUAGAUGACGUACCCUCAAGACGGGGAUAACGGAUGGAAACAUGCGCUAAUACCGGAUGACCUUACGAUGUCAGAAUGGUAAGGAAAGCUACGGCGCUUGAGGAGCGGUCUGCGGCCCAUCAGCUAGUUGGUAGGGUAAAGGCCUACCAAGGCGAAGACGGGUAGGGGGUGUGAGAGCACGGCCCCCCACAAUGGGACUGAGACACGGCCCAUACUCCUACGGGAGGCAGCAGCAGGGAAUAUUGCACAAUGGACGGAAGUCUGAUGCAGCGACGCCGCGUGAGUGAAGAAGGCCUUCGGGUUGUAAAACUCUUUUGAGGGGGAAGAGCGAGGACGGUACCCCUGGAAUAAGCGUCGGCUAACUACGUGCCAGCAGCCGCGGUAAGACGUAGGACGCGAGCGUUAUCCGGAUUUACUGGGCGUAAAGCGUCUGUAGGCGGAUGUGUAAGUUGGGCGUGAAAGCUCCGGGCUUAACCCGGAGAGGCCGUUCAAUACUGCAUAACUUGAGGGUGUCAGAGGGGAGCGGAAUUCCCGGUGUAGCGGUAAAAUGCGCAGAGAUCGGGAGGAACACCAGUGGCGGAGGCGGUUCCCUGGGGCACACCUGACGCUGAGAGACGAAAGCUAGGGGAGCGAACAGGAUUAGAGACCCUGGUAGUCCUAGCCCUAAACGAUGAAUGCUAGGUGUGGGAUCGAAUGGUUCCGUGCCGGAGCGAACGCGAUAAGCAUUCCGACUGGGGAGUACGGCCGCAAGGUUAAAACUCAAACGAAUUGACGGGGCCCCGUACAAGCAGCGGAGCGUGUGGUUCAAUUCGAUGCUACACGAUGAACCUUACCUGGG